GAUAAGCACCCUGUCCAGGAUGUACUCCACCUCAUGCCCCUGGGAUAGCCUACCUGUGACCCUGUACAGGAUAGGCAGUAUACAAAAUGAGUGAUGACCUUCCCAGACACUGGAUCUGGAAUAUGGAGCUAAUGUGGAGCUGUUUUCAGGGGAAAGGGAGGCCAGACGUACCCAGACUUACUACAGAGCUUCUAAUAAACUGUUCAGUGAGCGUAUGUGUGCGGAAUGUAAGCAAUUAUAUCAUGCAUUAAUUUACUAUUUAAAGUUGUUAAAUUAAUAAAAUAAUGUUCAGAAAUUCAGUGUGCACUCCUGUAAAGAAAAUGUGCCUGAUGUUUGAAGUAUUCUCGUCUGCUACAGUGAUAGCAGACUUUAAUUUAGUUAAUAAAUUUAUACAAAUAAAAAAAAUUAAACCAA